rnacentral:rRNA from 1 species
AUGGCGGACCGGCUGAGGGCUAACAGCCGGCUUUCUUCCAGCAGGUCGACGCCGUCUUCUCGUGCUUCCUUGGCCUCCGCUUCCAUGUACAUGGUUACUCGAGGCGAGUCGAACUCGUUGUCAGUUGGGAUGACCGCCUCGGCACCAUACACGAGGAAGAAAGGGGUGAAGCCGGUUGACUUGUUUGGUGUAGUGCGCAGACUCCAGAGGACAGCCGGCAGCUCAUCGAGCCAACAGCCGGCUGAACGCUCCAGUGGUACGAUCAGUCGGGGCUUGAUGCCGGAAAGGAUGAGGCCGUUGGCUUGCUCGACCAGGCCGUUUGACUGCGGGUGGGCGAUGAAUGCUAGAUCCAACCGGAUGCCUUGCGUCGCGCAGAAACGUGCCAAGGCUCCCUUGGCGAAAUUUGUGCCAUUGUCAGUGAUGAUGCUGCGUGGCACGCCGUACCGAGUUGUUAUAUCUGCGAUAAAUGUGACGGCAGUCGGCCCAUUCAGCUUCUUGAUCGGCUUUGCUUCAAUCCAUUUGGUGAAUUUGUCCACGGCGACAAGCAGAUGUGUCAUGCCGCCGCGCGCCGUGUUGAAUGGGCCCACCAUGUCCAGUCCCCAAACGGCAAAGGGCCAAGUGAGGGGAAUGGUCUUGAGUGCUGAAGCCGGCAUGUGUUGCUUGGAGCUGAAGAGUUGGCACCCUUUGCAAUGUUUAACUAACUCCUUGGCGUCAUCCAAAGCAGUCGGCCAAAAGAAACCAUGGCGGAAGGCUUUGGCGACGAGUGAUCUUGAGGCCGCAUGGUGGCCGCAUUCUCCUUGGUGGAUGUCUCUGAGGAUUGCAAUGCCCUUCUCUUGCUCGACGCAUCGCUGGAGGACUCCAGUGACACUGCGCUUGAUGAGCUCUCUGUUGACGAUUGUGUAUGCUCCGGCUCGGCGUUGGACUUGUCUUGCCUCUACUUCGUCAGCCGGCAGAUCUUGGUUUAUUAGGAAGUUGAGGAUGGAUUGA